rnacentral:lncRNA from 1 species
UUGGUGCUGAGUCGAGUGAAAGGGAUGAGGUACUAUUGAGGUUUCGUAUUGGGAUGUAGCGAAUCAUUCUUUCCCAUUCAUUUUUUUUUUUUUUUUGUAUUAUUUAGAAACUCUAGAAAUUACUACAAUGGUCCAAAAUUUAUAUUUACGCGAGAUUAAUAGUAAGAGUUUGCAACUAUGAAUCGGAAUGUAGAUAACUUAAAACUAUUGUGGUUGUGGUUUUAUUGUUUAACAAGAUAUAACAAACGUAUAAUGUGGCUUCUGAUAUCUGUUUUUGUAAAAUUAACAUUAUAUCCAUUCAUUUUUUAGGUGGAUGGGAAAGAUUAUCAACCACCCUCUUUGUUUGUUUCUUCUCUUGGUUAAAUGUUAAAGCUCUAGGCCUCUGGUCUUUGAUCAGUAAUAUAUGCUAAUGAAUUGGUGACAUUAGAAGAUGCAAGCAUAGUUUCCAGGUGUUCUUUUCUUACUUUCCAAGUAAUCUUCAGCUUUUGAUUGUUUACAAGUCGAAGAACACAAAAGUCAAGAGGUUUUAUUUGCUUAGCAAGGUCGGUUUAAGCAAACUUACGUGUUUGAUGGUGGUGUUAAUCUUAAUCUUACUUAUAGGUGCACAUUAGAUGAGUAUACUCGAUUGUUCUUAUAUUUGACCCGUUUCUUUGGUCCAAAUGAAAGUUGAUAUCUAUUCACAUUCAUUCAUAGCUAUAAAUUAACAAUUUAGUGACAAAAUUUAUUUAUCAUGAUUUUCAAAAGAAGCAGUGCAGCUGCCAAAUAAACAUUGAUCAUGAUUCAUUAAUACAAAAACUCAAGUUGAACUUCACAUCCAUAGCAUGGCAGCUAAAGUUCCUAACAUAGACAAGACAAGAACAUGAUCAGAACCACCAUGGAUGCUGAGCCCAGCUGAAGUGGGAAUGUCGCUCUUGGAAGAAGGGUUCGGAAGAGAGCUAGGCCCAGUCGACGACUGCGGCGCACUGGCCGGCGCGUAAGAUAGUUGGUUACCUUGCACGGGAACUUGAAGCUUCAUCCCUCCCAAGCAAUAGAGCUUGUUGCCACUCACAAAAUACCAAUCACCAGGUCUUGUCAAUGUGACCGUUGUGUUCCCUCCGGUGUAUGACUUCACUACAUUGGUCGUGUUGCAGCCCUCGUAGUUUUCUUUGGUAACUUGAUUGACACUAUUUGAUGAUGAAUACUGGAACCCUGCACAAUCGAAUACAGAGUAUAGAGUCUAAUAUGUUAUGUCGUCAAAUAUCGAGUUACUAGCUAGAUGUUGUUUAAGACAAGCACACUUACAUAGAACAUCGCCCACCACAAACUUCUUGUCCGAGGCCCAUGUAGGAAGAUCAGUGCUUAUGUCCCAGCCGGAGUUACCACCCACCGUGUAGGUUGUGGCGGCAUAGCAUGUCAAUGCAAAUCCAAGAGCCACAAGACCACACACCAGAAGAAGCUUUGCCAUGAUUUCUAAUUAAGCUGAUACAGAUGAGAGAAUUAGAGGGAACUAUGUUUUGCAUAUAUAUGUGCAUUAGAUCACCAACUUCACCGGUAAAGAAUGACGUGUGGUUCUUUCUUUCAUUAAUAUAGCUAAAUCAAGCUAUUAAAUUCAUAAAGCAACCAGACUUUUUAAGAAGUUGGUGGGCAGUUAAACACCCUCCCAACCCCAAAACCUCUUUUUCCUUGUGAUUUUUUCUUAGUUAGCUAGCAUAACAAGAAUGACAUAUAAAGAGGUCGUAUUUUGCAUGUAGAUCUACACACUCAAACAAGUAUGGCAGGUUUCAGAUCAAAUAACAAGUUUGUGUUUCUUCAUUGACCCUAAUAAUGAGGGGAAUGCAACUUAAUUUCUUUUGCAGCUAUCCCAUACAUGUAGGGAUAUACCGAGUAUGGGAUCUCAAUAGUCAAUUAUAACUUGACUUGCGACUGAUGAUCAUAUGGAAGAAUCCAUAGAACAAAUUGUUGACUCAAAUUUAUGUGAAAAAAGAAAUGGGGAACUUAUUCCUUGGUUCACUUUCUCAAUCCCAAUUGCCCAAGAAUAAUGGCAUUGGCAAGAUUGAAUAUGAACUUUCAAAAGUGGAGAACCUUCAAUAAUAGCAAUACCAUGAUAUUCAAAUUUUCAUCAAAAAUAAAAUAAAAUAUCAUGAUAUUCAAAGUUGUGUCUUCAAAAGCACAUUAUUGUCUCUUGUGGAAAAUGUAUCCAAACUAGGAUUGCGUUCAUAAUAGAUCACUUGUUUGAGGAACAAUUUAGGAUAGUUAGAUUCGAAGCAUUUAAAAAAUGAACAUAAAAUGUUUGAUAAAACGCCUCAAUGAGACACACCACGCGCGAAAAAAACAUUGUUAUAGGUAAAGGAUGAUCAAGACGAAUGGUUGCAAACUUGGAUCUCAAACUUGCAAUACAUCAUGAGGAAAUUGAAUCUCAAUAGUGCCCCUUGCAACUAAAUAAGAUAAAUUGACAAAAUUGUUGAUUCCUUUUGAGAUGACUGAAACUACUAGCUCAUUUCCCAAUCCCAAGUUCCCAAGAACAUGGCAGGCAUGCUUGAAAUAUCAAGGAGAAAAACUGUCUCUUAUCUGCUGGCAUCAAUAACUGCAAAAUCAUAACCCUGUCUACAAAAAGCACAUCCUUGUCUCUUAUGAGAAAGUAAAUUAAGAACCCAAAAAUUUGGGACUAGAUUCAUGAUGAAGUGCGGUGCAGGAUUUCUAAUUAGAAAAUGCUUUGGUAGAAGUAGAACAACUAGAAAUUUGCUACAGAAUCUCAGAUGGAGCGGGAAAUAAAACAUGUAUUCCAUUAAUACUAGGGGGAUUUUAUUUUUAGUUUCCAAGUGAUGGUACAUACAUAAUUAUUUGUCCUAAGUUAUGGAUUGUAAUUAAUAAUCGAUAAUAUGAAGUUUUGGAACUAAAAUUUUCAAAUUUUUUUAAAAAAAUGCACAAAAUUUUUUCAACAAAAUGACGCAUACACAUAUCGUAAGCCUAAAAGAGCGGUUUGCACUUCAUCAUCAACACAUUUAUGUUUCUGCCCCUCCGGCCAUCAGCCACAUCUUUUCCUUUUAAUAUUCUCAAGUCAGAGACAGAUUACAUGUACAUAGUUAAUUAUACCAUUGUUGUAGAUGCAGUACAUCAGCUAAUUAUGGGUCACACGAAAGCAGCUAGCAAAUUAGCCUUAGGUUGCAUGUCUGAUUCUUUAACAGAGCUUCGGGUUUUGAAGAAGUUUGGUUUAUUAUGUCGUCCUCCUCGGGCUCGGAGGAUUACAUAAGUUAAUUGGCAUCCUCCUCUUUUUGGUUGGAUUAAAACUGAUGGUGCAUGGCAAAAGACUACAGGGAAAUCUGGUUAUGGUGGAAUUUUUAGGGAUUUUCACGGCUCUUUCCUUGGCUUCAAACCUUGAAAUUCCUAACUCUGUGGAUGCGGAGGUUAUGGCGGUUAUUUAAGCUAUUGAGCUGGUUUGGGUUAGGGAUUAAAAGCAUAUUUAGCUUGAGGUGGAUUCAACAAUUGUGCUUAAUUUCUUGCAGGAUCCUUAUCUUGUUCCAUGAUGAUUGAGAGUGGCAUGGGGUAAUUGUUUGCACCACAUUUUUCAGAUGAAUUUUCGAUGUUCUCAUAUCUUCAGGGAAGGUAAUCAAGUGGAAGAUGCUCUUGCCAAUAUAAGUUUGUUAGUGUCUGCAUUAUCUUGGUGGGAUGAUCCUCCCCAUUUUAUUUUGGGCACGUACCAAAGAGAUAAAUUCGGUUUCUCUAUCUUUAGUUUUCAUUUAUUUGCUUAAUUUAUAAUGUAGUUUGAUGUCUUUUGUUUGGUGUUUUCGGGUUCUGGUUUUAGUGUCAUCCAACUUGAUUGUAAUCUUUAUUUUUUAUUAAUAAAUUUGAGGUGGGAAAACACUCUGUUCUAAUUAGCUCCUGUUAAAAAAAACAAAAACAAUAACAAAACAACAACAUGUACAUAGUUCGUAUAUGGCCGGACAUUCAGAAAGAUCAAGUUAUAUAUGGGACAUAGAGUUAUAAACUUAUCAUAUUUCUCAUAGCUAUCCACUGAGAUUGAAAACGCUACCGACCAGAAUUUGAUGAGGAAAAAGCUGCACAUAAACACCAGAAACAUGCAUCUCCAUCUUCCAGAUACCAAGUACCUGAAAAUCUGGCACGGACAAAGUUGUUUUGAAUCUCAAAUAUCGUAAGCAAAACCUGUUGUGCUAGACAACAACAUAGACCUGAUUCAUUUUCCAUAUUAAGCCAAAUUCACACUUUUUAACAACUUUCAUGAGCAUAUCUAGUACCAACAUUUAUUCUUCUAUAGAAAUGACAAACAUGAUCACAGUUUCAUAUUGUUUUAUAGCCCCAAUUCAAGUGGCAUUUCAAUUCUCUAUUUCUAUUAGAUUUGUAGGUUUUAUAUCCCCAAGUGGCAUUUCUCUAUUUCUGUUAUGAGCGCAGUUGCUUCGAUCAGAUUUAGAAACUCCAAAUUGGGAUGCAUACAAAGUACUAGAUAAUAUAAAACUCUUUGUGACACUCUAUGUCUGCUAUAAAAACCCCUUGUUACAGUGUUUCUCAAAUUCAUAGCAAACUGUUGUUACUCAUAUCUUUCCUUUCUGUGUCUUGCUUUCUCUGAAUUGCGAAUUGCUCGAAAAAUGGGAGAUCGAGACGAGAGCCGUUCAAGCUCAUUUCCGAUGGGGAAGACUGCACAAGAGACGGGCUUGCCCUACGUGCCCGAGUGUUAUGUGAUUCCAACUUCACACCGUGCCAGCUUAACUCCAGCAGUUGCCAAUGUACCCACCAUUGAUUUUGGUAAGCUCAAGCAGGGUUCUGAUGAAGAACGAGCCACUGUAAUCAAUGAGAUUAGAACUGCGUGUCGUGAACUUGGAUUCUUUCAAGUAAGCUAAGCUAAUUUAGUAAUGCUAUCUUUGCUACUUGUUAAGACACUAAUGUCACUCCAUAUAUCUUAAUGCUGUACUAAUUAACAUGCGUAAAUAACUUGCUUCAGAUUAUCAACCAUGGAAUCCCUCAAUCGUUGCUCGACGGGGCGCUGGCUGUGGCUUCGGGGUUUUUCGAGUUGCCUAAUUCAGAGAAGGCAAAGUUCAUGUCUAAUGAUGUUCACAAACCAGUGAGGUAUGGAACAAGCUUCAAAGAUGGAGUUGAUAAGAUUCAAUUCUGGAGGGUCUUCCUCAAACAUUAUGCUCACCCCUUGGAAAAUUGGAUCGAUUCUUGGCCUAACAAUCCACCCAGCUACAGGUACACUUGUACAUAAUAUAUAAGGGAUAUAUCAUGCAUGCCCUAGCCAGUUGCCACAUCUCUCAUUUUAGACCUAGUUUUCAGCAAAAAUACCCAAAAAUAAUUCAGAUUUUUAUAGCGAUGUUGAUCAAAGUCGUUGUCUUAUUUUGUCUUGCAUUUCUGGGGAAGUUAAUUUGUGCUUCUUAUUUUGUGUAGACUUGCGUAAACUCGGUCAUGCAUGUCACUCCGAUCGAAUGCCAUAUGCAGUGAUUUCAGUCCCUUGAACAAAUAGAUAAGCUCUGCACUAGGAUAACCUUUGCCCGGCCUAAGGGUGGGUUUGUUUUCCCAUAUGCAUGCAUUGCAUCACCUUAUGACUUCAAUAUUGAGCUCGAAACAUUUAAUUUAUGUCGACUUCAUAAAACACAUGAAAAUGUUAUAACAAAGAUCAAGUUUCGCAUAUUUUUCUUAAAUAUUAUAUCUGUCGUAUAGAUAGAUAUAUAUACGGUCGAUCACCUUGUGAUAUUUUGAUGAGAUAAUUAUGAGAACCUUUUUACAAUUAUGUUUUUCAUUUGCUUGAUUUAUCAUUUGAAUUUUUUUUUGGUGAAGAACGAUAAACCAACAAUUGUAAAAUUAUUUUGAUUUCUUUGUUACUUCCACACUUCCAUGCACAAUAACGUCCUUCCAGAUGACAAUUACAUGCUAAUAGUGAUCAUGUUUCACAGGGAAACCAUGGGCGAGUACUGCAGACAAGUAAUGAAACUGAGCUUGGAAGUAACAAGUGCCAUCACUGAGAGCCUAGGCAUAGGUCCAACUUACUUAACCAAGAAAAUGGAAAACGGGAUGCAAGUGAUUACAGUCAAUGGCUACCCACCGUGCCCCAGGCCAGAAAUGGCGCUAGGGUUGCCGCCUCAUUCGGACUACAGCUGCUUCACCAUUGUGCUUCAGAGCUUCGCCGGACUGGAAGUCAUGGACGUCGGGGACGGAAAAUGGAAACUAAUUCCGAACCUUGAGACUGCUCUUCAAGUUCAUGUGGGUGACCAUUUUGAGGUACUAAGCAAUGGUUUGUACAAGAGUGUUGUGCACAGGGCGACACUGAACGGUGAAAGGACCAGAAUCUCCAUUGCUAGCUUACACAGCUUGGGAAUUGAUGAGAAGAUGAAGACCGCUGAGGAGCUUGUGAGUGAAGAACAGCCUGCGAAGUAUAGAGAAAGUAGCUUCGGAGAUUUUCUGAACUUUCUCUCAGGUAAUGAUAUAGCUGAGGGAUCCAGCUUCCUCAACUCACUCAAACUAGCAUAAAUUAAGGAAAUUAUACUAUUUAUAUACAAAUAUUAUGGCUCUUUUGUUGUAAGGUAAUGUUAAAUAUAUUUCUGUUUCUAGUAUCUGAUCCAAGCUAGCUAGGAGUUUGAUUUAGGGCACAAGUAUUGAUGUAUAAGCCUCGCGAGUAGCUUCGGGAAUUUCCUAUUUCUUUUUUGACCAAGGGAGGUCAACACAGAAGAGAGAUCCAAACUCUAGCGUUCAAAUGCAGGGGGGAUGAUGGAUUAAUACUCAGUACUAAAUCCACAAGCCCCUACUGAUCUUAGAGAUUACGUAUUAUUUCCUUUUUGCGUGUAUAGCCUUACAAGGGCAAGACCAUGUUACUGUUUUACGGAGAGGCUGCUGCUCAUCCCUCCGUUUUGUACUUCUCAUGAAUCUAUAAUAAAAAUAUAUGUUAUCUACCGGCAAAACCAGAUAUAUAGAAAUAGAUCGCUGGAAGGGGUGUAGGAGGAAUUAUUAGGUGUUCCGGGAACAUUGCUGAGGUGGUGUCCCUUACCAAUAAAAAUGCGACAGGUGGGUUCUGGGCCAAUAAGCUUACGACAUGUGGGUUACUUGUUAACACAUCGCCACAUCAUUUGACGUCCCAGAUAACGUCGUUUACAUCAGUUGUGGGAUUCGGGAUAUUAAGAUCCAUAUUCAUCUCCUAUUGAUUUUCCAGAAUGUUUUUCUCUUUGAAUUAUGUCCUUCCAUCUCUUCCUGAUUCUUAUGAACUGAAGAAACGAAUAGCAUUAUCAUGAAUUAUGCGAUCAGCCAUCUUCAAAUUUUUACCAACCAACUUGUAAGUCUAUUUCAUCUAAAAGAAAAAACCCGCAAGUCUAUCUGGUAAUCAAAGCGAAGACCCUGAUCAACAAUAAGGAAUUCUGGAACUGAUUUUGACCAAAAAUGGAUUUUCAUAUCACCCUUUGGCUUCACCAUUCUUCCUUAGAGCAAGUACUGGCAAAGGUAAUAUGCAAUUAAGGUUUAGUUGUAGAUCUGAGACCUCUUCAAUUUCCAUGGAAUUCACCUUAUCAACAUCUCUAAUCAAUGAUGAGUUCUCGAAUUGGACUAAACCAAUUGUCAUCGCCUUCUAUAACAUAAACCCAAUAUGGAUUUUGAGUGUCUCACGAAAUCUUUUCCCUUCAGGCUUCAGAUAUGAAAGUUGAUUAGAAGUUUUCAGAUUUGGCAAAGAGGAGCAAAGAGGAGAAAAGAUUCAUCUUUUUGCUAAACAUGAAAGUUGCUUCCUUUAAGUUUCUAGGUUUGCUGGGAUUGAUGGGUUUGUAAUCAGUUAAUUGUAUGAAGAUACUUCUUUUAUGAUUAGAAGUUUUCAGACUUGGCAAAGAGGAGCAAAGAUUUAGAUCUGGGAAUUUUUUUUUUCCUCUGGUUCGUUUAUCUUCUGGACCAUCAGUAACAGAGAGAAAAACAAAUGUACACCUGCCGCAUUUUUAUUGGUAUGGGACACCAGCUGAGCAAUGUUCCCGGAACACCUAAUAAUUCCUCCAUAACAAGAAUAUAGAGUAAAGUCACACUCUUUAGUGUGGCUUUUAGAGGUGUUGCAAUUCAGACUUGUGUAACAAUUUUUCUCUCGUCUCCACUAAUAUUCACAUUUGCCACACAUAACAAAAAAUACAACACCUCUAACUCUAUAUUUUUAUUGUGAUAGAAAUAAAUUAAGACGAUGAAAUAUAAGAUUUCAUAAGUCGUAACCUCUAUCUAUUUUUGUUGGGUGUAAAGAGUAAAGGAAACCUCAAAUUGAGGCAGUAGAUCCAAAUAGUGCGUUGAUUCAAUUGCAUUUGUCGCUAGGUCCAUCACAUUCGCAUCUAUACGUAUAAAUGAGAGUACUAGUGGAUGAAGCAUGUGGAAGAAAUUAAAACAGGAAUCGUAAUGCAGUCAAAUAUUGUUCCAACAAACUAGUUAUCUGAUCCCAAAUCGUAGCCGUUUUCCUUGACUUUAGGACACUGCUUGAAUGAACUACACCCACAAACAUAACUACUAGAUCGAUAUUGUACAAACCCUUUCAAAUUUAACCUUCAUUUUUCUUGCUCAGCUAGUUUCUCUAAUAUUUCAGUCACAUCAUUUUUACCAUUCUCACUCUGACCUUCAAUAUUAUUCAAGUGAUCCUUUGGAGCUAGUUAGCUAGAAAGAUGCAUAGAUCGGCAAGUUGGAGCAGGGCGGAUGAGUACUAUGCGUCGGCGGCAAAGGGUCCGCCGGGGCUGCGAAUGUCAGUGUCGUUUUUCCAAGGGAGUGACAGUCAGCUGCCGGUUUAUGAUCCACCCAUAGCCGAGUUGGCCAAGAAGGAAAAGGCUCGAGUCAAGUUUGCCGAGAAUGCUGUCCACAUUAUCCCAUUUGUGCUUCUUCUAUGCGCUUUCAUUCUUUGGUUUUUCUCUAAUCCAACAGGUAAGCUAAUACUCUAAUAGAUUUAGAAUACCCUUUCUUUCACAUAGGGUAUGUUGUGACAUGGUUUUUCUCUCCCUUAUUAUUGUUGUUACAUGUUUGUUUUGUUGGUACUUUGGUGCAGAAGUAGGUAUGAGGAUGAAGGAUCCAAUAGCAGCAAAGAGUAUUGAAGGACUGACAUUAGAGGGGGAGAUUGAGAACGAUAGCGAUGGCACUCAAACAGGAGUUCUACCGGUUGUCGAUUUGGGACUAGACGUCGACCCAACAAAGCAAACCAAGUAUAAAAGAUAGAGGUCAUUGCACAUUUGCACAAGAAAGAAAUGCCAUACAAAAUUUGCAGACUAUGUAUACAGAGAUGCAUGCAACUGUGAUGAUUUACCUACGUGAUUUUCUGGAAGUUAAUUGGGUGCAUUGAAAUAACAAAUGUACUUUUGGUUUUGUGUUUACAUUGUUUGGAAGCCAAAUUUAUUGUUGAUUUUUGGUAAUGUAAAUUUAUGGAGGACAAGAUACUUUUCCAAUUUGCAAUUCUGGAUACACACAUCAUCAGCUUUAUGUUAUUCUAGAUGGAAUAAGGUACGUACGUGUAGAGGGGCGGAGUUAAAUUAACCAAAUAGCUAGUAUCUAAAUUCUAAAACUUUUACUCACGCACUCAUCGUUCGUUGUUCAAAUAGCUGUAGUUCAUCAAAAGAUGCUAAUUCCGGUCCACAUCCUUAGACACAACAACCAUCGCACCAGAGACACCUGAAUCACACCACCAUUUUUGAACAAAAUAGCAAAAGUCUCCCCACCCUUAAAUAUUAACACAAGUCCCUUAAAGUGAAAGGAAAAAGAACCACAUAGAAUGAUCAUGACUCAUGAGAGAAGAAGAUAUAUAAAUUAUUUAUAUUCUGUUAAAAUAUCUUAAAAGUGAGAUUCUCGAUCUAUUUUUCUGAGAGUUUAUUUACGUUCACCGUAUUACUCUCAACCAAGCCAAGGGUUGUUACUGGCGUAAGGAAGAAAGUACAUAUAUACACUUACGUAACACAAAAAUUAAUAAAUUCUCUCCUUACAUGGAUGUGGAUGAAAACUAAUCGUAAAAAUCGUGAUAUCCAUCUAUUUCAAGCCUCUUUGUUUAGGACAUUGUCGUGCACAGUUACAAAUUGAUCUCAUAUCAACUUUCGAGUUUUUCAGAAUUCAGAUACUUUAAUAAAAAUGCAUGGUGAUCCCAACAUAUACAACAUAUACAGAUGAUUAAAAUCGCACUGUAUACUUGCACGCCUCGUAUACAAAAAUAUCAUAUGAUCAACUGUUUUAUUUUUUCUAAUUUUUCACCAAGUUUUGAGAGUACUUUGAAAACAUGGGCCAUGCUCGGCCCACAAGCGGGUAAAAGUCAUGGUUUCCAAAUUAUUACGGGCUUUUGGUCCACACACAGGGUGGGUAUAUAAAUAUCCGAACUUUUCGGUUUCGUCAUCACUUUGUCAUUUGUGUGUUUUUCCACUUCUCCUUUCUUCUUCUUCAUCGUGAGAGAAAGAGAAUCUCACCUUGGUCUCUGCAAUUCCCUUUCUCGCCGGACCGGUCCAAAUCCCGGUCGAACUCCCUCCUCGAUCGCCAAGCCAUGAAUCCUGAAUAGUGAGUCUCCGAUCUCUCUCUCUCUCUCUGCAGCCCAACCACCCCGUCGUUCUCAUAUUAUUGAAAAUUUAAUCUAGAUCCGUAUUCGUUUCUGUAUUUCUGAUUAGGUUUGUCAAAUUUUAUUGUUGAAAUUCUCGAUUUUAGUCUUCAAUUGUGAUUAGUUAAUCGGUAGGAUCAUAAUCUAGUUGAUGGUGAUUUGCUUAGCUUGGAUUUGUGGUUUGAGCUUAUGGUUCAAUUAAGCCUAGUGUAUUAUGAUGUUGAUUGUGCUGUUAGUUUUUUUUUCUUUUCUUUUUGCUAAAUAUAGUUUAUGUUCGAAAGCGUUGAUUGUUAGAUUGUGCUGAACUGUGGAGUUCGUGUGUAUUCGGAUUGUUGAUUUUGUUGGAAUGUUGUCGUCUGCAGUGAUUACUUGUUUAAACUUUUGCUGAUUGGAGACUCCGGGGUUGGAAAGUCGUGUCUGCUUCUGAGGUUUGCUGUAAGUUGUUUGACACUCUGGCCGUUUUAGUUUUCUUUCUUUAUAUUGCUGCUGAUAUUUGCAUCUGAGAUUUGUAAUUGUAGAGUUUAAAUUAAGUCUUUACAAUGCACAAUUGGUUGUUACUUGAUGAAAUGAAAAUGAAAUUGCUAUUCUAUUUAGGAUUUAGUAGUUCAAAUGCAGCUGAAACAUAUUGUUUGUAAUGGUGAGUUGUUAGAUGAAAGCCAGUUGAGUUUUCGUGUCUAUAUCCUUCUAUAUCUGAGCAUUGGAAGAUUAAGUACAAUAUAGUUGAUCAUUGCUGGAGCUGUGUUUGAAGAUUAGUGCUGACUAUAUUCUCUAAUUUAUGAUGCAGGAUGAUUCAUAUCUGGACAGCUAUAUUAGCACAAUCGGAGUUGAUUUUGUAAGCCGCUUUCUUGCUCUGAGUAUCUGUUAUUGUAUAUAUGAGUUUCUAAUCUAAUCAUCUUUUUUUCCUUUUAUGUAGAAAAUUCGCACUGUGGAGCAAGACAGUAAAACCAUCAAGCUUCAAAUUGUGAGUCUUGCUCUCCCCCCUCAAAUCAUUGUCUGGGAGUUUAUGCCAUUUUGUUGUUUACCAAAUUUUCAAAUCUCAAAUGACGAUGUGAAAUCUUGUUCUCUUUUUAAGUACUAGUGCGGAUGCGCAUGUUCCAUUUUGUGUUUUUUUUCCGUCCAACAUUCAGUAAUUUUAUUCAGUAGGAUCUCUUAUUCCAAGAGGUUUUUGACAUGUUUAGUGUUGUUUGUCUUGACCUCUCUUUUGAAGAAACCUGUAGUUUGUGUUCACAACUUUCAUCUUGCGGCGGAUCUUAUGAAUUAUUUAGUCCAUGUAGCUCAUUAGAAUUUUUUUUAUUUUGUUCUCUUCUGGACUUGUAGUGGGAUACUGCUGGACAAGAACGUUUUAGGACAAUCACUAGUAGCUACUACCGUGGGGCACAUGGCAUUAUAGUAAGUUUCUUCUUCCAGAUAGUUUCUGUCAUUACUGUGGGCACAAUUUCGUCUCGAGUUGUGGUAUAGUGGUUUCUGUUUAACUGUUUGGUGCAUGUUGCAGAUAGUCUAUGAUGUGACAGACCAAGAGAGCUUCAACAACGUGAAGCAAUGGUUGAGUGAAAUUGACCGUUACGCAAGUGAGAAUGUAAACAAGCUUCUUGUUGGCAACAAAUCUGACCUCACUGCUAACAAAGUAGUGUCUUAUGAAACAGCUAAGGUGCAAAUUGUCUGCUCUGAUUCCCUUGUUUCCAUAUUAUUGUCUAAUGAACUCAUUAUUUUAAUCACUAUAUCCUGUUCCCAUUGGUUUGUUAAAACUUGAAAGGCAUUUGCUGAUGAGAUUGGGAUCCCUUUCAUGGAGACUAGUGCAAAAAAUGCUACAAAUGUGGAGCAGGCUUUUAUGGCAAUGUCUGCUGACAUCAAGAACAGGUAACUUUUGUAGAUCUUAUGUUUUUCAUAUUCUUUCAUGUCUGCUGUUAAAGAAAAGUAAAAGUUUCAAAUGGGACACGAUCUUUGCACAACACGUUCUGGUGCAUCUUUGAGUUGAAUGGACUAAAAAGGAUUAAAUUCAUCGACUAUUGCUUUCAUUACAUAAGUGUUCUUGUAGCUGUCGGGCGUUUUCAGAUACAUAAUUGGUUUUCAUUACAUAUUGCAGGAUGGCAUCUCAACCAAUGAACAAUGCGAGGCAACCAACAGUGCAAAUUCGAGGACAACCUGUCAACCAGAAUUCUGGCUGCUGCUCAUCUUAAUUGAUUUCAAGGCUGAUCUUCUGUGGCAUGCGCACAUGUAGGAGAAGGCUUCUCAUUCUUCUGUAAACUGUAGAUGACUACUUGUGCCUUCUGAAACCAUAUAUAACGACUCUCUUGUCACUAUGUUUUAUAAGUCACUCUCGAAUUCCAUUCUUUUUUAGUCUUUAACUGGUAUGUACAAAAUGAUGUUUGGCGCUCAGCUACACUUCUAUGUUUUCUUCUGUUUCAAAUGACUGUUCAAAUUGGACUUAGUGUUUCGUGUGGUGCUUCAAUGAAAUUGUGCUUCUGAUGUCCUUACAUUGAUCAUCUAUUUAACGAGUGUUAAUUUGUUAUUUUGCUAAUGAAGAAUUCACUGGCGUGCUAAUAUGAUACCAUUUCUUGAGAUGACCCUAUCAGUCAACUUGAGAUGAAUACUAUUUGGAGUUUUGGACCACUAGAAUACAACUGCUGUAUGGCAUGGAAAUGCUCAACAAGAGGCUAGCCUUUGAGAUAAAACCGCCAUCUGCGAGGCCCCGGCCUGAUCAUCCAGCAUCCGGGUCACUUGACCACCGUGAUUUGCUGAGAUAUAUACUCACGCACUGCCAUGGAUAGCAUACAAAGGUGAGCGACAAAGGAUUGAGGACAUAGCUUCUUAGCAACACCUCCCAUUCCAAAAAUGAAGUACAAAUCAAAAUCCUGCAAUUUGGAGAAGUCAGCAUUGGUCAUAAAUUUGUAUCAAGAUGCGAGCAACUCAGACUCGGUUACUAAAAUGGUGCUUUUUUCGAGGAUAGAGUACAAGAUGAGGAUAGACAAAGAUUGAAGAACGAGAAGAUGAAGUAGUAUUGGCGGAUGGAGUUGAAGCCUAGCUACAGCUCUGGUUGUAUACAGAAACUUUCACUUCCUGUGGGGUAGUGUCUGACUUCUAAGAUGGUUUUUGAUCAGAACUUUGGCCUUCCUGAGGAAAUACUUCUGUGCAUGACUAGGUUCUAGCUAGCAACUCAUUAUAAUGGAAUUAGUGUUUCGUGUGAAUGCUCAAGGUGUUUAUUUUUGGUAAUGCUUCUGAACUUUGGUUUACUGUUCAAUUGUCACAACUAGACAACAAUCAUCCUCAAAAAUCGAAAUAACAAUAUUGAUACUAAGAAAAUUUGCCGCAUUGUACAACUCAACACUCUUCAAUACAAUUUGUAGAUUAUUCUUAUGAUACUUCUAAAUAUAGCUUAAAACUCAAAACUUCUUCAAGAGAAGAAAGGGAUCGGAUGUAACAUCUCAUUUUCUAUGUGACUCUGAUUGCCCCAGAAGAAGAGGAUGACAAAUUGGCUCCCUGAGAUGGUUGUGGUUGCCCAAUUUUAAGCUCUAAAGCAUCCUUCUUAGUGAUCGACGAGUUUGUACGAUGAACUCCCAUCAAUGGACUGCUUGGGACAGAUCUAGAUGAUGAUGGAAUCCCUGAGGGGUGAGAAAUAACUGGUUGACAUGUAGAGAAAUUACCACCCUGCGUCUUAAGCAUAUAGUGGAAAGUUGGGCCGCCAUAGUGCAUUGCUGGUGUAUAUGGUACAGUCCCAGGCAUUCCUACCUGCUGAUGGAAAGGAAAGAUGAGCACAAUAUUUUAAAAGAGAAAUGUAAAUGUAAACAUUAAACUUUAGUGCAAAAGAUAUGACAUUGUAGCACUGCACAAUAAUGAAAGUGAUAAAUUACCAUGUAUGGGAUAACCGGGGCGUAAGUAGGAACACUGCAAGAUGAUGCAGGCAUUUGAGCAACAGCUGGGGGGCUAUCCAAGCAUAGAUGCGGAAAUCGGUUCAGGACCUGCGAUGGCAUGUUUGCCUGAGGCGAGUUCGUAAUUGUUGUGAUCUGUGGCAGAACUUUAGAGGUGCUUCCUGGUGAUGAAGAAGAACAGGAAGAAGCUUCGGCAGUUUUGGCUGUCGGUGAGAGGGGAGAAUCUUGAUGAGCAUAUUGUUCCUACAAGUUGAACAAUAACGGAUCAGUCACAUACAUCAAACCCAAAUGUACAGUAAGUUACUGAUUUGAGAGAGGGACAUACAGAUAGUUCUUUGAAGUGCAUGUCAAAUAGACUUGUUCUUCGUUUACGCUUGUCAUUGGUAGCCUGCCUGAGAAAGUACUUCUGUGCAUGACUAGCAACCUGUGUUGGGGUUCUAGUUGUCACAAAAUUUCUUGCAAUUCCUCUCCAAUCACCUUUUCCAAGCUUUUUCAAUCCGGCUAGGAAUACUCUGUGCUCUUCCUCAGUCCAUGGUCUCCCUGGAUAUACAUCAAAAAAGAUGAUUCAGUAUUCCCUUCAGUAUUUAGUUACUGAUCACAAUCCAAUAUCAUAAUAUCGUUAUCAAUCUUAAACAAGCCGGUUGAGCAUAACAUGUCAACAACAAGAAAGACAGCGUUGGAACUCGCGAAGCCAACUUAUAUGGAUUAGAAAGGGGGCAUAUGCAUCCAUUUGAACUCUUACACAAUAACAACAAUAUGAAUACGCUUUCUCAUCAAGAAGACUCGUAUACAUAACUAAUAGACAUUCAAAUUAGCCCCAAGUUCUAGUAAUCUAAAAGAGACAAUGAAGUGCAAACAGAACUUUCAUCAAGAACCAACAUCAAUAUCACAUUUAAAAGCAAUAGUGACAAACCUAUUUCUAUAUAACAUGUAGAAACAAACCCAAAGACGGAUGAAACUCAUGAAAGAGAUUAAGGAUCCCUCAAAACACAACAAGGAAAGCCAAACUACUUGACACCUAGGUAUAUAUAAGUAUGUACCUUUUUUCCUCUCAUGGGCGGCUUUACGUUUCUUGUUAUGGAUGAGACCGUCAGAGAGGUAGCCAGCGUCGUCAGCUCCGACAUUGAUAUUGUUGUUUUGGUCACCGUUUCCGGCAGCCUGAAGAUUACCCAUGCUAUAACUCUUCUUUAUAGAAUCCUCUUGUCUUUCCAUUAUGUUCACCCCAAAAAGCUUCAAACAAAUCCCCUUGUUGUUAUUGUUAACCCCAUGCCCUAAGAGGUUGCAGGUUCUAGAAUUGUGGCCGUUGUGACCGCAAUGCGAACACUUUCUUGCAGAUUCCUUCACCAUUGUGAUCGGCAAAAGGAACCUCACAGAUUGAAGAAGAAGAUGAUGACAGGAAGUGGUAUUUGGGUUUUGGUCAAAUAGAUAUUUGGAUUGACAGCUUUUGUGUUUGUGUUUUUACGUGCGACGAAGUCUCUGAGGUCUAGUAUUUAUGGGGCUCUUUUACCUUCCUUUUUCUAUAAUAAGUCUAUAAAAUUUCACGUUUAGUGUGAUAUCGAAGCAAUAACGAGAUGACGUUGCUACCCUUUACCAAUUGCCUUGGGGAACAAUUAAGGAAAGUACUAAAUCUAAAGGGUGUUGUUCCUUAUAGUAGGAGGUCAGCACAAAUCUGAGUCCUUGAGUGACUGUAAAAACGUGGGACAAUUCCUUCUUGCAAAAGGUAAAUGCCUCGUGGCAGUAUCGCGUGAAACCAAGUACUGGUUUCACGCGAUGAUUUUCGCUUCUCUGGAAACUCGGUCUCCCACCGAAUAGGGCUAUACUAAUUUUAUCAUUUUACCACAAAAAAUGAAAACAAAAAAAAGUGGGAGAAAAAGGGGACGUUUUUACCUUUUGCCAGCCUAUUUGUUGAUACUGGUCAAACUUCAAAUUUAGAUAUCUAAUUUGGGAGGAAUUAAAAAUCUAAUCAAUACAGCAAAUAUUCAGUUUCAUUGAUUAAUCGGGAUAUAGAGACAGUGAAAAUUGUGGAUAUAUGAGUGGGGAUAGGAGACAAAAUCUACUGAAACGAGAAAUUUCUAGAUACAGUUGGGAUAUUAGUCGAUCUUUGUGAUCUGUCAAGAUAAAUGACUAGAGAUCGAUGGUGGAGCAAAUUACGUUUGUUAAUUAAUUUGAUUGUUUCCUACUCGAUAACAAUAUUUGGUCUGUUAAUUAGGGAUAAGCUCAGUUUUGAAUAAAUUGUUACUUCCUUACUUGUAUGGCCAGAAAGUAACUAACUUUAACAAUCUUCGUAAAUUAUACAUUCAUUAACGAGAGAUGAAAUUGGGGUAAAUUGUGAUACAAUGGCGGAACCAAGAUUUUAUACUGCGGUGGGUUAGAUUUUUUUUUUUAAUGUAUGCGAACUAAUUGAUGUUAGAAAUGCACUAAUUCUAAUAAUAUGUGUGCUAAAUUUAUAAAUUUGAGGUGGGUUAGAUUCUAAUUUUUAGCGUUUUGAACUAAAUUUUGGUUAGAAAUGAAUGUUUUUUCAAAAUUUGAGAUAAGUUGUAGCCUACCGGACCUUGUAUAUAGUUAUGCCUUUGAUGUGAUAAUACCGAAAGUUACAAUAUAGAAUUUUGUUUCUUUUUUGGUCAACUUUCGGUCCUCCAAAACAUCUUAACUUCUUAAGUACGUACUAGAUAUUGUAUCCUCGAUUCUAAGCAAAUUCUAUUAUUUAACGUUCAAAGCUAUCUAGUCCAAAUCAUGCAUCUUAGGCAUUGGAUUUCUUAGCCUUUAUCUCUAAGCAUAUGUAAAAACAAAAUUUAUUGCUAUUUGUUAUAUUGCUAAUCAAAUUUAUUAUAUUGCUAUUUGUUUUUUUCAUCUUAGGCAUUGGAUAUCUUAGUCCGAAUUUUGUUUGAAUUUUUCUUUCAAACGUACAUGACUUUGUAUCCUUAAUAUCGAUCGAAACCAUGAAUAUUCAGAACGAUCGAAUAGUACUCAUUCACCAUUUUAUUAGCUAGUAUUUUGAAUCAGCUCACCAUCUGGACGUAGUAGAUUAUAAAACCAAAUCCAAACUCAAUUAUCAGGGCUCAUGAAAUAUUCUCGGUAGUGUGUGAGAACUAGUUUCGAACAGAUUACAAGUCAUCAACCUAGGUUUUAUCAAGUCAAUCACAAUGAACACUGAACUUGGUUAAGUCUGGUAUAGGUGCGAACUACCUCAAUGUCCUGCUUCUUCUUCUUUCUUUCUUUUUUAUCUUCGUUUUCUGAUUUACUGGGCAAAGCCAAAUAGAAGGCCACGAGAUCUGGGUCACGUUAAAUGAGUUAGUUCAGGAGCUUUGUCGUCUGAGCAUAAAACCAUGAAGAAAACGCAUACUGAAUUGAGGAAAGGGACAAAGAAAAAGUGGCUCUCAGGGUUUUCUGGGAAAAUUGUUUGGCGUUUUAUAAGCCCCUUUGCUUAUCAGCCCAACACGUGUUGAUAUGCAUGCGCUUCAGUUUCACAAUUAAAAAGCUUUACUGUUUGCCUUGUGAAGAUUCUAUGCUUUUCGAUCGGUGCAGCAGAAGAAGACGAUGCCUCUCUCUGGUUAAAAAGUUUAACGGAUGCCAUGCAAAGCCCAUCAGCUAGCUUAAGAACCACCGUCAAAUCCACCGUCAUCAGUAGCCAGCUCAAGGCUCAAGAGAGUUUAAGUGAUCGAGUUCAAGUGUUAGUGUUUUGGGUCAUCCCAAUGGGGAAUGACGUCGAGUUUGUUUGGUUCAUUUGUCUCCAACUACUAGUAUUCAAUUUCCACUUUGAAGAAGAACAAACAACAAUGACGUACAUAUAUAAAAAGCAAAAAAAUUAUUACUAAACUAAGAAGUUAAUGAGAUAGUAAUCGAAUGAGAAAAUGAUAAUAGUUACCGAAAGUUAUUUGGUAUAAGAAUGUGAUCGAUAUACUUUAUCUUCGUUUUUCAUGAUUGAUCGAAAAAAAAUUAAGCAAAUCUUGCAUGAUAUAGUAAUUGAUGUUAAGAGUUUCUUCUAAAACAUACGGGAAUUUUCUUUUUUAAUGUGAAGACACUUUUAGUGUACAAAUCAAUGAUACAUAUACGUACACUUACGAAACAAAGUGAUCAAAACAUAAAUAUUAAUCAAAAAGUGAUAAAAUUCCGAUGACAUUCAAUUGACACACAAGCUUUUGAGUGUCAUCAUUUUGUUUGUCACAUCCUUUAUCUUUGCUUUGAUUUUUGGCAACAACUUUCAUCAAUAUUGUGCUUGAGCUUUCUUGUCCAUGAUGAACUCAAGUUUCCAUUGUGAAACAAAUUGAAAAGUGGAAUAACUUGAUGAAGGAUUUUUCUAGUAGAGAAUCAAAGAGGAUUUACUUUGAUGGAUUUGUGCAUAAUUAGAGAACCUCUAACACUGAAAGACUCGAAAACGUUUGCAACACAUCUCGAACGAGCUAGCUUAAAGGACCACCGAAGUCCCUCAAACCCCCAAAACACGUGUCCCACAGAAUCCAUGUCCAUGUUUCAGGUCCAUAUAAGUCAGUGCACUUAUCACCUCCACGUGGACUCACCCAUGCACUUUUGCCACAUCCCCUGUCGAAACGGCGGCGUUUUGACGUCCGUUUGGGUCCGUCACCUUGUUCCAUCUCUGUCUCCACGAGCUCGACAUGUCCUGCAACACAUGGCAAAAGCUUCUCCUCCGGGAUGAACAACUGGCUCCAAAGCUCACUAAGUAGCAAAAUGCAUGCAAGUCCCAAGUCCCGGAUGAUCCGCCAUGGAGUCCUCUCCGUCUUAAACCGCCGUUAGACCAUGCAGACACUUUAACUCAACCAGAGUUUGAGCUCUGCUAUAAAACCACCCCCUUCCUCCACUCCUCCUCCUCGCUCAGAGCCAUCGGUUGAGCUCGGUCAACUGGUGGAAGUGGUAUAAAAUAUUAGUAUUGUAAUUACAUUAGUUUCAAGAAAAUGUUUAACGGGUACCAAUUCUAUGAGUUCGUCCCUGUUACGGUUCCGGUUGAGCAGCUCUUCCACCAUGACCAUGACAAUGGUCUCUUCACCUCAGACGACUUCCGGAUGUACUCCUACAAAAUCAAGCGUUGCCCGAGAAUGCGCAGCCACGACUGGACCGACUGCCCCUACGCGCAUCGUGGCGAGAAGGCUCAGCGCCGCGACCCGCGUAGGUAUCCCUACUCCGCCAUAGUCUGCCCGGCGUUCCGCAACGGCAUCUGCUACAAGGGCGACGCGUGCCAGUACGCGCACGGGGUGUUUGAGUAUUGGCUCCACCCUGCGCGUUACCGCACGCGCGUCUGCAAUGCGGGCCUGUUGUGCACCCGAAAGGUCUGUUUCUUUGCUCACUCGCCGGACCAGCUGCGGACCCCGCCACCGGAGUCGACCAAGUCGUUCAAGUGUCGGCAGCACCACCACAACCAUGUCUAUCGCCCCGUCGGAGAUCACUUGCUGAUGAACGGUGCCAAUGGAGCCACCUCAGUGCGGUCGCCAGAACGGUUGGCGACAAAUAACAAUGUUAAUGUCGCCGGCAGGUUCUCGAAAAUUUUGAGCAGUUUGAGGGCAUUGAGGCUAAGUGAUCAGGAUGGCAAUGGUGGUAGUGGUGAGAUGGAUGUGAGGGUUGAUGAGUAUGGGCUGCCGGAAACUUUGGAUGUGGGGGAGGUUGAUUGGGUUUCGGAGUUGUUGCAGUAAAAUUUCUUUGGGGAAUUGGUUUGAAGAGGGGAGUCUGGAGUCAUUAGCUUAAGGGUUAAUUGACUAGCUUGUUAAUUAUAGUGCUUGAUGUUGUUAUUUAAUGUUUGGGAGUGUAAUCUAGUAGCUGGUAAUUGUGAUCAAGCUAGUACUGGGGGGGUAGCUAGCUAGGUUGUAUUCAAUUAGUUAAGAACAUGCAGUCUAGAGCUGAAAUCUGGAGCUCGAAUUAUGGCUGUAUGUGUAUUUAUUAAUGUAUUGGUUAAGGAUUAAGGAGUGUAUAUGUUUCAUAAGUUCAUGAAAUCUUUUAUAUGUUUUUAUUACAAUGACAAUGCAGUAAAACGAUUUCUGAAUUCUAAUAGCAUACAAUGUUUUUACUUUAUAAUAUAUUAGUUUUUACUUUAUUUCUGAUCGAUGUAGCUAGAAGGGAUAUGAAGAGAGGGCCAUGAGGAGAGGAUUGGCAAAGAUCUAGUGCAUGUAAAUCUGUUUGUCUAGACAUUAGAGGGUUUAAUUAAGUUAUUAUUUGUCGGCCUAACCGUUCCGCCGGACGCACCGACAUGAGUGCAUCGACAGGAGAAAGAUAGCAAGUACCAGGCUAAAACAACAGCGAGUCUUACCCCCAAAAGUUUACACCAUUGAUUUAUGUACUUUCAUAACCUCAUGGACGAGUACUUUUUUUCCAUUCCUUCUCAUUCUGCAGUACCUGCAAGACAGGUUUAGUAAAAGAAGGCAAAAACGAGAAGAUUAGAAACCGAUAAAGAAAUUAAGGAGUAGGUUUUUUUAAAAAAAAAAAACAUUAGGAGAUGGAACUGAGCUUUAGAUCUAUUUAGUUGAUAAAUGAGAAAAACCCGUUAGAUAAUAUAACAGUUAAAUUGAUAAAUGAGAAAAACCCGUUAGAUAAUAUAACAGUUAAAAUCCACAUGUCAAAAUCAUAAAUUUUAAGGGAAGCGAAAGACAUGUCCUCCAUUAUUAUCUUUGACAUCCAAAAUUGUAUAUACCUGAAAUUUGCAACCAACUUUAGACACAAAAUGGUUAUGUAGUUAUGGACAGAAAAUCAAAUCGAGUUUUAACAGAUCAUCUAUUUGGUAUGUGUAUUAUUCACAUAAAUCGACCUUGUGUUUAGCUUGCCGUUUUGGAAAUAUGAAAAUGAAAUGCUCACCUCGUUAUCAAUAGGCACUGGGAGGUCCGAGAGAUGAACAACUUUUCUUCACCAGUAUAAGCACCGUAGGCAGACAUUAAAAAAAGAUAAAUCGAUUUAUUAGAGAAGGAAAAUUGUUAUGCAUAAAGAUACGCUAUGCAUCUAGAUAUGUUUCUUGAAAGGACAUAUCUAGGUAUUCAGAGAGGAUGAAUAGAAAAUCUAUCUCUAUUCUCUUCGACCUAGUUUCCGAAGAACCUCUCGGAACCUAUCACUUUUCUCUCUCUUUGUGCUUCUUGGUUUUCUUUGGUAGCCGAAUGCAAGUAUAUAUAGAGAUCCAAAAGGAAGGCAAAGAUCGCACGUCUCUAUGUGAUUACGUGUUUUAAUUUAUCUACUCAAAAUGUACAAAAAACUCGUGACCGACAAGUUUAGCAUCUUUUUAUUUUAUUUUCAGAUGCACAGAUAACUCGUGACUGACAAGUCUAACGUCUCUCUUUUUUUCAUCGUUUUCCUCAUCAAGCCUAAGUAACUCUUGACUAGCAAGUCUAACAUCUUUCUUUUUGUUAUUGUUACCUCGAAAGAAUAGGUAACUUGUGAUCGAGCUAAAUAGUAACUCAUUAUGUAAUAUAUUCUUUUUGUUACAUGUGUGUAGGGGAAAAACCGAAAAAGUAACUGCGCACUUUCACUUCUCUCCAGUAAUGAAAGGAGAUAAAGUCCCAUAAUUAAGAGCAAUAAAGAUAGUUCAUAAUUUAGAAAGCAUUACAAAAUGAGUUAUUAAUAAGAUAAUUGCUAUAAUUUAGAGAUAUGAGUGGAGAUGAUCACUAGUUUUUGUUGUUUGUUUUCUGGUUACAGUACCUAAGGUUGCUCUCAAGCUUUCAUUUUUAAUGAAACAUUGUAAUAUAUCAGAAGACAUGAUACAUGAACCUCAAAUUAAGCAUAAGAACCACAUGAUACCUGAAUUUUAGUUUUAGUACUCAACUGAUCAAGAAAUAUAUUUUUUUUCCCGAAACAAACAUGGAAAUCAACUAGUAUUUGGUUUUUAGUGUGUACGAACUCUAUGUAUCUCUAGUGCCUCUGAAACAGUACUGAAGGAGGGUCUAUAUGUUACCUCUAUGAUCUAAAAUGUGUAGGGAUAUGUCUAUUGUUUGUGUACCAUUAUGGGUCACUAGCUAACUACCUAUCUGCUUAUGUCUUUAAUGAGAUGAUAUCGAUAUAGUACGUAACAACCUAAUACGUGUGAUGAUUGAUGAAUAUAUCAACCCGUCUUGUGGCUAGUUAAAUAAAAUAAAAUAAAAAACUUGUUCGUAAAUAAUCAAUAUUGUCUCCACUCUCCCUCACUGACAAUAAAAUGUCAAGCAAAUAAGCAGUGCUAGAGACUAGAGAUGGUAAGAAUACCGUGAAUACCAAUUGCCGAGAUUAUUAAGAAAUUUCAUCUGAAUGAAUUUCUUGUCCAUUUUGUGAUUGGAUGACAUUUAAAACUUAAAAUUCAUUUUUAAUCUGUCUCACUUGCCUACCACAAACACCAUUAUUGCCUAUCCUCUUCACCCCAAAUGGUUGAAACAAUGGCGAAGGUUUAAACUCCUGCAUGGCUGCUAUAUUAAUCUUAAUGAUUAAAUUAACAUUAAUAGAUAUAUAUUGUACGAUUUGUAGUUUUGUACCAAAUCAAAAAAUGGCACAUCUAUAUAUAUAUGACAAUUUCUGUUCACAUAUAGACAUUAAUGAAAAUCUAUUAAUUAAAUCUACUUUCCUUUCAUGUUAAUCUUUUUUUUUGGAUAAAAUCCAUCCAAGUUAAUCUGCCAAACAAAAAGCAGAGAAAAAAAGAAGAAGAAAGAGGUUCUCAUAUAUUUACAGUUUACUAGAGAUUCUUGCUUAUCCUGUAAAAACGAGAAAGUUUUUUUGUCCAUCUUGGAGAACCAAAGAAUAUAUCCGGUCAACCGCCAUGGACAAAUUGAACCAGCCGCCGAAUUCCGCCACCUUCGAAAUACCAUCAGAUGCAACAAGUGCAUAUUUCAAAUGAGAACCACUGCUGGACAACAGAGUAAUGGCUUCCUCUUCCAUCCGAGAACCCUAGAAACUCGAAGGCGAUCGACGAAUCGAACCACCGACUUGGCUGCCGCACCAAACCACUGAAACAACCGACUCUAUAGACUGACAACUGUACACCAUGCACCCAAGAACGCCAUAGACUCUUCACGUUUCUCUUCACCUGGGUUUUUAUCACUAUCUGCGUGCUGACAUGGUCUUGAGCUAGACGAUGACAACAGUCACAACACCUUGAUCGUGGUGGGACCCAACUUUAGCUCAGUCCGACAACCACCAUUUCGCCACCGCCACCUCCGCUUGCUACGUGCCUCGAUCUCCACAUCUCUUCCGAGUCAUCAUCCUUAUCGCCACUAACUCUCUCUCCCCUCGAAAUAUAAAACCCACCUCUCCACCGCUCCCAACAACCAUGACAUCGUCACUAUCGCUCUCCAGGUUACUCCUUUUCAGCAACACCGUACCUACCUUCUUUGCUUUAAUAAUGCCGACGUAGAUUGUAUUAAAUUCUUACGUUUUUUUUUGUUUUCAGGUGGAAUAUUAAUGCCAAUGGAGACGAUCCUUUUGAGUUUAGUUCCCCGGAAUGCUAUGCUUGCACUCAGGCGGGUCUUCCGGCGUUUCACUCCAACCGUUGCUCCGCCGGUUCUUCAUUGACCCCGACGACUGACCUCAAAUGCAACCCUCCUCCAGGUCACCUCUCCCGGACCCGGGUCAUCGACCCGCGUAGCAACUACGUGAAAAGGUGGAACCGUCUUGUCCUCAUGGCCCGCGGCGUGGCGUUGGCCGUCGAUCCGCUCUUCCUCUACGUCAUUGCGCUGAGCAGGAGUGGGCCCUGCUUCUACAUGGACGUCGCUCUGGCCACCUACGUCACCGUCGUGAGGACGUGUCUUGACGCCUUGCACCUGGCCCACAUUGUGCUUCAGUUCAAGCUUGCGUACGUGUCCAGUGAGUCAAUGGGGAUUGGCUGUGGGAAGCUCGUGUGGGACCCACGGGCGAUUGUGUGGCACUACAUUGAGUCCUUCAAGGGGUUCUGGCUUGACGCCUUUGUCAUUCUACCUAUUCCUCAGGUACCUGAAAAUUUCAUUCAUUUAAAAUUUCCGGUUAGAUUUUCAAGUCACGAACAUAGGAAUUAGUUAAUUAGUAGUCGUUUCAUGAUCCUUAUGGAGAUGUUGUAUCAUAUGAAUUAGGAAUUUGGGUAACAAUCCUUGAAGUUAUGUGUUUGGGUAACAAUCCAUGGAAUUUUGGUAACGCUGUAAAAUGUACCUGUUAAUUGGCAUCAUGUUAAAGAUAUAGAAAUAUGACAUUGAGUAAACGGGGCUUGAGAUUCUCAAGUUUCGAUUCAAGGAGAGGUGAGUUAUAAAAGCUAGGCAUCCAAAAUGAUUAACAGUAAACAAUAACAGAACUAAGAUUUGCGCGUAAUUUCGAAUAUCAUAUCACAAAUUUAACCGCACUUAUGAAAGGCAGAUCCGGAAAUAUCUAUCAUGAAACGAGUUAUUUAGAAUGGCGUCCGAGUUUGGAAUCCUAAGUCGGUUGCCUAAUGAGCUAAUUUGUUCAUGAAUAUAAUGAUACUAAGUACAUUAUCUUGUCUAAGCUUUUAGUACAUUGAUUUGCAGAUUGUGAUUUGGCUAAUCGAGCCAAAAUUGCUUAGAGGAGAACGGCCAACACAUAUAAUGGCCACCGUUUUGCUAACCUUCUUGUUCCAGUUCACCCCGAAGGUCUAUCACAUUAUACACUUGGCCAAAAGACUGAAAAAGGUUACAGGUUACAUCUUCUCAUAUGGCAACAUUUGGUGGCGUUUCAAACUUAAUGUCAUCGCCUACUUAACUGCUUGUCACGUAAGAUUUUACUACUCAGUUAGCUAUAAGGAUCCCGAACUAUUACUAUGUUAUCUUAGUUCAUCAAGGUAAUUUCUGUACAGAUUGUUGGAGGAAUUUGGUAUGUUCUUGCAACACAACGUGUGAUGUCAUGCAUCCAACAACAGUGUGAGAGUAACAAGAAGUGUAAUUUCUCUCUCUAUUGCUCAAGGGAAAUAUUUUCCCUUGGAAAUUUUCCUGAAGGUAACAGAUUCCCAAAGAUAAAGGCCUGGUGCUUUGAUGAAGACACUGAAUUUGGCUACGGAAUUUACCAGCCGAUUCUUCCUGUCUAUAUUGGCAAUACACGCGCCGUGAGAAUCCUUUAUCCCAUUUACUGGGGUUUAAAUAACCUAGGGUAAUUUGCAAAACUACAAGUUAAGGCAUCUGGAAUGGCAUUUUGAUUACUUACAUUCGUCAAUUAUAAACGAAUUAUGAUCUGUUCAUAUUUAUGUUGCAGCUCCUUUGGCAACAAUCUUACUCCGUCAACUGACUUGCUGGAACUGAUAUUCUCUUGUUGUUUGUGUCUGACGGGAAUGGGCCUCUUUGUUACCUUACUUGGAAAUAUCCAGGUCACUAAAAACUUCUAAUCAUAUCGGUUAUUUGAGUUUUAAUCAUAGAAUAGUUUUUCAAAAUACGUUGCGAUUUAGAAUGUAUCUUUACGAAACAAAAGUUAAUCACACAAAUCUGCACAUUCUAAAGUUUUGUAAUAUUCAGUUGUUUGUAUAGCAAUCUAGACUCUUAAAAUAAGAUUUUUGGAUGUUCGGACUAAUAUUUUGGCAACAUAAUGUACGUGUUCAAUUUGUGAUAUUUGGCCUUGCAGCUAAUAUCUUGAAUGUGAAUGUAUGUGUAAUUGUGUAGAUAUUUCUGCAUUCUAUCAUGGCAAACAAGAAGAAAAUGCAGCUGAAAUAUCGAGACAUGGAAUGGUGGAUGCAUCGUAGACAGUUGCCGCAUCAUUUAAGAAAGAGAGUUCGACAUUUUCAGCGCUGCAGUUGGGCAGCAAUGCAAGGACUGGAUGAGAUUGACUUGAUCCAAAACUUUCCUGAUGGACUCCGAAGAGAUAUCAAGCGCCAUCUUUGCCUAGAUCUUGUCAUGAAGGUAACUAUCUAAUUAAGUAGCAAUUCACGUAUGUGGUUCUAUAAUAGUUGGCUAUCUAAGUAGCAAUACUUCACUCUAUUUCUCUCUUUUCAGGUACCUCUAUUCCAUAAGUUGGAUGAUGUUAUUCUUGAAAAUAUAUGUGAUCUGGUCCGUCCACUAAUCUACUCCAAGGGUGAAAAGGUGCGACACUACUGUUCUAUGUUCUUACCUAUUUUCGAUGUACAUUUUUCAAUUUCGAGUUCUCAUUUACAUUUUACUGUAAUUCCAAAGAUAAUUAGAGAAGGAGACCCUGUCCAAAGGAUGGUGUUCUUAGUUCGUGGACGCGUACAACGCUGUCAAGGGCUUACUAAAGGGUUCUUAGCUACCAGUGUGCUAGAACCCGGUGCCUUCUUCGGAGACGAGCUUCUCUCGUGGUGCCUCCGCCGUCCUUUUCUUGGCCGGCUUCCUUCCUCAUCCGCCACAUUCACUACCAUGGGACCUGUUGAAGCAUUUGGUCUCGACGCAGAAUUUCUUCGCUACAUUUCCGAACAUUUUCGGUACAAAUUGUCCAGCGAAAACAUCAAACGGACGGCGAGGUAUUACUCCUCGAAUUGGAGGAGUUGGGGGGCUGUCAUCAUUCAACUUGCUUGGCGUCGUCACAGGGAGAGGACUAAGGGUAGUUCAACACCAAUGCAAAACUGGGAUAUUGAGAGUCGGCUUAAAAUGUAUGCUGCCAUGUUCUUGUCAUUCAAGCCUCAGGACCAUACAGACUAGCUAACUUAAAUAUAGUGAUCAUGUGAUUCAUGUCACUCUUUUGGGUCUUGGCCGCCUGACCGGAACUGAAGAAUAUUACUCGAAUAAGAUUGUGUAUGGAUCUGACUGAUCCGGUUAGCUGAUGCUCGACUUUACUUUGUUAAUUUGAUUAAGAACUGAUGAAGGAGAAUAUAUGACAAACAAAGGCUCAUAUGUAUUAGCUCGACUAAGUUUUGUUGACUGGGUGGUAUUAUCUCUCAAUGAAGAAAAUAAAGGCUCAUAUGUAUAUCUCACAUUCUCACUUGUUCAUUUUAUGUGUGAAUCAUGUUCCAACAGAUCGAAGUUCCGAUCCAAAAGCUCAUUCCACAUAUACAAUUCCUUAUCUUAAUAUUUGAAACAAGUUUUCCCUAUAUCCAUAAAUUAUGUUAAGGUCCUUUAUGUUAAUCAUCUAUAGGAAAAAGAACAACCCCAAUUAAUUAAGAGCCAACUGUAUGCAAUAUGUUGAAACAAAUUUCACUCUAUUCAAAACAUCAAAGAUAUGCACAAUUUUGUAUCAUAUUCCUAACAUAAUACUAUCGCAAAUACGCAAGAAUAGGAAUUUGAUUGGAUUGGAAGUUGCAAUGCUCUAAACUCUAACAAGAUCUUCUUCUUUUUUGAUAAAAACUCUAACAAGAUCUUUGUUUUUACACCAUCUAUAGCAGAUAGUGUCGUUGUAGAAUGCGUAGUAAACUAGUAAAAUGCUCGUCUUCUAUGGCAAAUUAAAGGAUAAAAGAUGACAAUUAGAUAAAAAUGUGAAAGAAUGUCCUCACUUCUACUACUGAAGCUUCAUCAAUCGACUACCUCCUCCAAGCAAUAUCGAACACCUCAUAGUAAAAGUUCCCUUGCAAGAACCAAGAAAAUUUACCCUGAUCAUCAAACCUUUUUCACUCUUUAUACAAGUAUAUGGAUUUCCUGCCACAUGGUUCACAACCUUUCUAUGAGAAUGCCAUGCAUCACGACACGUAUCCGAUCCACAUAGCGAACAAACAUUUCUUCACUUUAUUUUUCUGAAACAUUAGUUCUUCAUUUGAAUUCGAUCUCAUGCAGACUAGCAGAGAUUCAAGACAUACACACGCAGCAAUCUCCAACAACAAAAAGAAAAACACAUUAAUUUUGAAUUUUUAUUUCUUUUUCCUUCAAAAUAAGCCAAGGUUUUUUCACUCUCAGUUCACAGCGCAUUACAUAAAACUAAAAUACACAGAGAAACCCAGAAACAACAAGUUUAACAUACAAACACACACAACUACUAAAUACGUACGAGACGAGACAAAGCAACCGAAUCUAAUACACAAACAUUGCCCGGGCCUAGUCUCAACUAU